GGUCUGAUGAAUAGAAAAAGAUCUGAUUAUCCCAAAUACUUGUAUUUCCAUGGCCUUUUCUCCCAGCAGUUUCUCAACAGUCACAGCACAGUAAUGUUUGCUGGCACCCUGUGGUGUAUGUGGUUCUUGUUAACCUGAAGUCUCAGAGCCAUGAUUGGGAUCAGCAUCCAAUAGUCCUACUUGGAGGAGUUUGAUGUCUUGGAUUGUUCUAACUGGACAUGUGAUCUGUCUUUUCUGCUCAGACC
rnacentral:snoRNA from 14 species